AGCGAACGCUGGCGGCAUGCCUAACACAUGCAAGUCUGACGGGCGGGGGGCAACCUCUGUCAGUGGCGGACGGGUGGGGAACGCGUAGGAACGUAUCCAAGGGUGGGGGACAACCGCGGGAAACUGCGGCUAAUACCGCAGUGGGGCCUUUAGGGAGACCUGGAAAGGGGAGACCGUGGGGACCAAAGGCGUGGGGAGACCUAGUCGCCUGUGGAGCGGCCUGCGUCCGAUUAGCUAGUUGGUGGGGUGACGGCUUACCAAGGCAGCGAUCGGUAGCUGGUCUGAGAGGAUGAUCAGCC
rnacentral:rRNA from 1 species